CACAAAAACGAAAAGAAAAGAAUUGCGGCAUUUUUCAGCAAAUUUUCGCGCUUACAGAGAAAUUAAUAAUUUAAUUAAACAAUAGUGAAUUUAAACAAAAAAGCUGCAAAUUAAUUACAAUAAGUGUGCGUGGUGUGGGUAUAAGUGUGUUUAAGUGGAUAAAGAACGGUAACCGCGUGGGUUUAUAGUGAAGCUAAAGCUGCAAAAAUGUCCGUUCGCGAUCAAAUUAAAAUAGAUAUAGAAUGGGGCCACGAACGAUUGGUGCGUUCGCAACAGGUGGUAGAGAUGCGUCCCUACGAUAUUGAAUCGUGGUCGGUAUUGCUGCGUGAGGCACAAACGCGACCGGUAAACGAUGUGCGCAGCUUGUACGAAUCGUUAGUGAAUGUAUUUCCCACAACAGCACGCUACUGGAAGAUCUAUAUAGAGCAAGAGAUGAAAGGCAGAAAUUUUGAACGUGUGGAAAAAUUGUUCCAGCGUUCAUUAGUAAAAAUUUUAAAUAUAGAUUUGUGGAAAUUAUAUUUGACAUAUGUAAAAGAAACCAAGGCUGGCUUGAGUACACACAAAGAAAAGCUGGCACAGGCUUAUGACUUCGCUUUGGAGAAAAUUGGCAUGGAUUUGCAUUCGUUUUCAAUUUGGCAGGACUACAUACAUUUUCUGCGUAGCGUGGAAGCUGUGGGUAGUUAUGCGGAGAAUCAGAAAAUCACCGCAGUACGUAGAGUGUAUCAGAAAGCGGUGGUUACGCCCAUUGUAGGCAUCGAACAACUGUGGAAAGACUACAUAGCUUUUGAGCAUAACAUAAAUCCUAUAAUAUCAGAAAAAAUGAGUUUGGAACGUUCGAAAGACUAUAUGAACGCGCGACGUGUUGCUAAGGAGCUUGAGAUACUUACUAAAGGCUUGAAUCGUAAUUUGCCCGCCGUGCCACCGACGCUUUCCAAGGAGGAAAUGAAACAGGUUGACUUAUGGAAGAAAUUCAUUGCAUUCGAGAAAUCAAAUCCGCUGCGCACAGAGGACACCGCACUCAUAACGCGUCGUGUUAUGUUUGCCACCGAGCAAUGCCUGCUGGUGCUCACACAUCAUCCAGCCGUGUGGCAUCAGGCCGCACAGUAUCUAGAUCAAAGUGCGCAAGCGUUGGCGGAAAAAGGCGACACACAAGCUGCCAAAAUCUUUGGCGAUGAAUGCGCCAAUAUACUAGAACGCUCUAUUAACGGCGUCUUGAAUAAAAAUGCGCUGCUUUACUUUGCCUACGCAGACUUCGAGGAGGGACGCAUGAAGUAUGAUAAAGUACAUGCGAUGUACAACAAAUUGCUAUCCAUACCGGACAUUGAUCCAACGCUGGCUUACGUGCAAUAUAUGAAGUUUGCACGCCGCGCUGAAGGCAUCAAAUCCGCACGUGCUGUCUUCAAGAAGGGGCGUGAGGAUGUGCGCUCACGCUAUCACGUGUUCGUGGCCGCGGCAUUGAUGGAGUACUAUUGUUCGAAGGAUAAGGAUAUUGCUUUUCGCAUCUUCGAACUCGGUCUGAAACGCUUCGGCGGCAGUCCGGAGUAUGUCAUGUGUUACAUAGAUUAUCUGUCACAUUUGAACGAAGAUAACAAUACGCGCGUGCUGUUCGAGCGCGUGCUGUCUUCGGGUGGCCUAACGCCGGCGCUUAGUGUGGAUGUAUGGAAUCGCUUUUUGGAAUUCGAGUCGAAUAUUGGCGAUUUGUCGAGUAUUGUGAAAGUCGAGCGUCGCCGCAGCGCAGUGCUGGAAAAUCUGAAGGAGUACGAGGGCAAAGAGACUGCCCAACUGGUGGAUCGCUAUAAAUUUUUGGAUCUUUAUCCGUGCACAAGUGUUGAACUGCGUUCCAUCGGCUACACAGAGAAGAGUUACAAUGUCGGCAUUAUGACGAAUAAAAGCGCCGCCAACGCUGCAACCGCUAAGCCAGAUGAACCCGAUGUGGAGCAGGUAGUCUCGUUACCGCGCCCCGAUUUCUCGCAAAUGGUGCCGUACAAGCCCAAAGUGAAUGCACAUCCCGGCGAGCACCCGCUAGCCGGCGGUACCUUCCCUCAGCCGCCGGCCUUGGCCUCGCUGUGCGCACAGCUGCCGCCGCCCGUGUCCUUCCGCGGUCCAUUUGUCUCCAUUGAAAUGCUCUUCGACAUCUUCAAUCGCAUCAAGCUGCCCGACGCUGUGCCACUGCCCGUCGGCGAUCAUGGUUGCGACACGAAACUCUUCGACCUGGCCAAAUCGGUGCAUUGGAUUGUGGAUGACAGCGUGUGCACCGGCGAUGCGGGCAGUCUGAAGCGUCGGCGCAUGCUGCCCGGAGGCGACGACAGCGACGAGGAGGGCCAAACGCCAGCGCCACCAGCCAAUGACAUAUACCGUUUGCGGCAGCAAAAACGCUUUUCCAAAUAAGCUGUGUGACAUUGUUUUUUUUUUUUAAUAUAAACCUUAAUAUACCACAUACAUAUGUACUUUAAGAGCGUGUCACUGCAUUCUAUUGCAGUAUAUUUAACGCAAAGCAAAAGCAAAUUUUUUCUUCAAAGAGUUUUAAGUUUUAUUAACAUAACAUAAUGAAUUGCUGCGGGCAAUAUAACGGCAUUGCACAUUAGAACCACACUGGACGGUAUUUAGUAAGACUGCUGUUGGCGUGUACAAUUUUCAAAUAUACAAUCCACACAAUACAAAUACAAAAUAAAUACAAGUUUAAUUAGUCGCAAAAGCU
rnacentral:misc_RNA from 1 species